GAGCCACGUGGCAUAGUGGUCAAGUGCUUGUACUGCCACUCACACGGUCAGGAGUUCGAGCCCCUUGUGGGUCA
rnacentral:tRNA from 1 species